AUUGAACGCUGGCGGCAUGCCUAACACAUGCAAGGUCGAACGGCAGCACAGAGGAGCUUGCUCCUUGGGUGGCGAGUGGCGGACGGGUGAGUAAGGCAUCGGGACCUACCCAGACGUGGGGGAUAACCUCGGGAAACCGGGACUAAUACCGCAUACGUCCUACGGGAGAAAGCGGGGGACCUUCGGGCCUCGCGCGGCUGGACGGACCGAUGUGCGAUUAGCUAGUUGGUAGGGUAAUGGCCUACCAAGGCGACGAUCGCUAGCUGGUCUGAGAGGAUGAUCAGCCACACUGGGACUGAGACACGGCCCAGACUCCUACGGGAGGCAGCAGUGGGGAAUAUUGGACAAUGGGCGCAAGCCUGAUCCAGCAAUGCCGCGUGUGUGAAGAAGGCCUUCGGGUUGUAAAGCACUUUUAUCAGGAGCGAAAUCUGCAUGCUUAAUACGUGUGCAGUCUGACGGUACCUGAGGAAUAAGCACCGGCUAACUUCGUG
rnacentral:rRNA from 1 species